AAGUGGAACGAAAAGUCCCCAACUUUGCUGAGGUAUUAGAAUGUCGAACCGAGGGAGUACAAUGAGGGUGGAUAAACCUGCACUUUGGGUAAUCCUGAGAAAAAUGUUCUAAUACCGGUUGGACACCUCUUUUUGUGUGGGGGUGGAAAGAUUUUUUCGGUUGUGGGAUGAGCCCGCGGCCUAUCAGCUUGUUUGUGGGGUAAUGGCCUACCAGGGCGUCGUCGGGUAGCCGGCCUGAGAGGAUGGACGGCCACAUUGGGUCUGAGAUACGGCCCAGACUCCUACGGGAGGCAGCAGUGGGGAAUAUUGCACAAUGGGCGGAAGCCUGAUGCAGCGACGCCGCGUGGGGGAUGACGGCCUUCGGGUUGUAAACCUCUUUCGACAGGGACGAAGCCUUGUAGGUGACGGUACCUGUAUAAGAAGCACCGGCUAACUACGUGCCAGCAGCCGCGGUAAUACGUAGGGUGCGAGCGUUGUCCGGAAUUACUGGGCGUAAAGAGCUCGUAGGUGGUCUGUCGCGUCGUCUGUGAAAUUCCGGGGCUUAACCUCGGGCGUGCAGGCGAUACGGGCAAUACUUGAGCGCUGUAGGGGAGACUGGAAUUCCUGGUGUAGCGGUGAAAUGCGCAGAUAUCAGGAGGAACACCGAUGGCGAAGGCAGGUCUCUGGGCAGUAACUGACGCUGAGGAGCGAAAGCAUGGGUAGCGAACAGGAUUAGAUACCCUGGUAGUCCAUGCCGUAAACGGUGGGCGCUAAGUGUAGGGGUCUUCCACGACUUCUGUGCCGUAGCUAACGCAUUAAGCGCCCCG
rnacentral:rRNA from 1 species